rnacentral:rRNA from 1 species
UACGUAGGGGGCAAGCGUUGUCCGGAUUUAUUGGGCGUAAAGAGCGUGUAGGCGGCUAGGUAGGUCCGGUGUGAAAACUCGAGGCUCAACCUCGAGACGCCGGUGGAAACCAUCUAGCUAGAGUCCGGAAGAGGAGAGUGGAAUUCCUGGUGUAGCGGUGAAAUGCGCAGAUAUCAGGAAGAACACCCGUGGCGAAGGCGGCUCUCUGGGACGUGACUGACGCUGAGACGCGAAAGCGUGGGGAGCGAACAGG